rnacentral:rRNA from 1 species
GAACGCUGGCGGCGUGCCUAAAACAUGCAAGUCGAACGGGAGUGACAAAGCUUGCUUUGUCAAUACUCCAGUGGCGAACGGGUGAGUAAUGCGUGGGCAAUCUACCUUCAGGAGGGGGACAACCUCGCGAAAGCGGGGCUAAUACCACAUAACGUUAUGUAUCGGUUGGAUAUGUAACCAAAGGCGGUUGAGGCUUGCAAGCCGUCACCUGGAGAUGAGCCCACGUCCCAUUAGCUAGUUGGUGGGGUAACGGCCCACCAAGGCUACGAUGGGUAGCCGGCCUGAGAGGGCGAUCGGCCACACUGGGACUGAGAUACGGCCCAGACUCCUACGGGAGGCAGCAGUUGGGAAUAUUGCACAAUGGAGGAAACUCUGAUGCAGCAAUGCCGCGUGAGUGAAGAAGGCCUUUGGGUUGUAAAGCUCUUUCGAUUGGGAAGAAGGAUUGUCUAACGAAUAAUUAGAUAGUUUGACGGUACCUAAAGAAGAAGCACCGGCUAAUUUCGUG